AGAGGCUGCAGAAAACCCUCCUGUGUCCCUGAGUUGGCUCUGUCCUUAAAUUUUGCAGCAGGAGAAUUAUUGAGCUGUUCUUGGGAUGAUUUUUAGCCUAUGUAUGUCUACACUUAGGAGGCUGACAUCUUAUAAAUGCAUAUGGUUUUGUUCAAAUGAAUACGUAGUUGACAAAUACUUGGCUAGAAGUUAUAAUGACAAAUUUAAUAGCCCUACUAUAGCCUGAACUGUCAUCUUUAUUUGGGUUAAGCUUGCUAAAUGUCAACUGGAAUUUUGUACUAUAAUAACCUGCAACUUGGUUCCAAAAUCAGCCAUGUUUUUGACAAAUAUGCUUUCCUGGCUGAAAACCAUGAAUGACCCAGAAUAGUUCAUAUCUUUGGAAGAUCCUUAUUUUCCUUGUAAAUGAAAGUCAUGCAUUUGGAAUAAUAACAUGAAAUGAUGUGAAUGAAAAUAAUUCUGGAAGUGAGUCUGCCAUUGCUGGGCAGGAACCCAGACUCCUGCUAGCUCAGUGCUCUGUCUUCCUUAGCUUUUUGUUCCUUGGACUUAAGGUCCAAGAUGGCUGCUGAGGUUCCAGCCAUCACACUAAAAUUGCAUCCGACUGAAAGAGGAAAGGAAGAAGAAAGUGCCCUGGCUCACCUUUUUGGAGACUUCCUGAAGGUACUUUUCAACGUAUCUGCUUGUAUUUCAUUUGCCAGCACUCGAUCACAGAACAAAGAUGUUUGUGAAAUGCUUGAAUAACUGGGGUUCUGUUAUUAAAAGAAAGGUAAUAAUUGCUCUUGAGGGGCUACAACCAUCUGGAGUUGGGAUAAUACAACUGCCACACUGAAUUCUAUGAAAGCCAAUUCUAUUGGCUAUUGUUGUAUGCAAAUAUCCCUCUCUUUGGUGAAACAGCAAGCAGCUAAUUAUGUUAAGGGAUGCCUUCUUUUUGGUCUCUUUCUUUUGUAACAAUCUCAAGAGUUCAAGUUUCCAAAGUGAACUCUCUUUUUCAGUCGUUUGGAGCUUUGUAGCUUGAUUGAAAAGAAUGCUGUGAUUCAGCUGGCCACGUUGCUAGGCUGCCUGACAAUUUACCUCUAGCAGUGGGGAGGAAACAGUUGUGUUGUUGGAAAUAUUUAACUUAAAAAUGGAUGAAAAUCAUUCUUCAAGUUUAUUUUUUAAUAGCUAAAUUAUUUUGCUUAGAAGGGCUAAAACAUUUCUGUGUGUUCCUCUUUCGUUUUUUUUUUUUUUAAAGGAGGUAAUAAAUAAGGUGAAUAAAAUUGUAAACAAAAA
ensembl:lncRNA LINC01517 long intergenic non-protein coding RNA 1517